UACAGAGGGUGCAAGCGUUAAUCGGAAUUACUGGGCGUAAAGCGUGCGCAGGCGGUUUUGUAAGUCUGUCGUGAAAUCCCCGGGCUCAACCUGGGAAUUGCGAUGGAGACUGCAAGGCUAGAAUCUGGCAGAGGGGGGUAGAAUUCCACGUGUAGCAGUGAAAUGCGUAGAGAUGUGGAGGAACACCGAUGGCGAAGGCAGCCCCCUGGGUCAAGAUUGACGCUCAUGCACGAAAGGCGUGGGGAGCAAACAGG
rnacentral:rRNA from 1 species